rnacentral:rRNA from 1 species
UACGUAGGAGGCGAGCGUUGUCCGGAUUUACUGGGCGUAAAGAGCGCGCAGGCGGUCGUUCAAGUCGCGUGUGAAAGCCCCCGGCUCAACUGGGGAGGGUCACGCGAUACUGAUCGACUCGAAGGCAGGAGAGGGAAGUGGAAUUCCCGGUGUAGUGGUGAAAUGCGUAGAUAUCGGGAGGAACACCAGUGGCGAAGGCGACUUCCUGGCCUGUUCUUGACGCUGAGGCGCGAAAGCUAGGGGAGCAAACGGG